UACGUAGGUGGCAAGCGUUGUCCGGAAUUAUUGGGCGUAAAGCGCGCGCAGGCGGUCCUUUAAGUCUGAUGUGAAAUCCCACGGCUCAACCGUGGAAGGUCAUUGGAAACUGGGGGACUUGAGUACAGAAGAGGAAAGCGGAAUUCCAAGUGUAGCGGUGAAGUGCGUAGAGAUUUGGAGGAACACCAGUGGCGAAGGCGGCUUUCUGGUCUGUAACUGACGCUGAGGAGCGAAAGCGUGGGGAGCGAACAGG
rnacentral:rRNA from 1 species